CUUUGUCCUUUUUAUUCAUUUUCUCUGCAAUUGCUAUUAGCAUCAAGCCACUUUUUUGCUAGGCUGUGUGCAAGGUGGUGACCAAAUCUUCUGAAGAUGUCAAGCAGAGUAUAAGAAGAGCUCGCCAGAAGGCAUUGGAUACGAUGAAGAAAGCAGGUUCAAGUUUCCCAAAAGAUGAUGCCAAAAGAUUGGAGAAAGAAGUUGAUGAAUUGACUAAGAAGUUUAUCAAGUCGGCAGAGGAUAUGUGCAAGGUGAAGGAAAAGGAGAUUGCUGCAGGCUGAGUGGUGGCUUGUCGGUAUUCCAAAUAUCUCCGUUAGUACCGUUUUGUUUUCAUUUUGAAGGCUUUUACACCUCAAGUUCCAUAGUUGAGAAUUUUUAAGUUCUCAUCGUUGUUUGUAGACCUUAGAAUAAUGUAGUUAAGCAAUUUUAGGGAUUAGAAACCACCAUGAGCAAGGCGAGUUCUGAGAAUGACAAGAAGAUUUAAUGUGGGAAAAAGAACCGUCACAAUUCCAUCUUGACAAUAGCUUUGACAUGAUAAUGGGAAUUCAAGGCCUCCUUAUUCCGAGGUAACAAUUGGAAGUGUAUUCAUUGCGUGUCUUGUGAUGUUUGAAACUGAAAAUGAUAAAUGUUUCAACCCUUUUGGUAAAGAACCAAAUGUAGUUAAACUAGGGGGAAAGAAAUGAUCUAGUUUGAAUUCUACCCAUUUCAUUAAAUCAUAUUGGGAGGCCUCAUUAUGACUA